AUUGAACGCUGGCGGCAGGCCUAACACAUGCAAGUCGAACGAGUGGCGGACGGGAGACUUAUGACUGGGAAACUGCCUGAUGGAGGGGGAUCACUACUGGAAACGAUAACUGAUACCGCAUACCAUCGGCUAUGCCGGGGUGGGAUUAGCUAGUAGGAGGGGUAACGGCUCACAUGGGCCACGAUCCCUAACUGGUCUGAGAGGAUGACCAGCCACACUGGAACUGAGACACGGUCCAGACUCCUACGGGAGGCAGCAGUGGGGAAUAUUGCACAAUGGGCGCAAGCCUGAUCCAGCCAUGCCGCGUGUGUGAAGAAGGCCUUCGGGUUGUAAAGUACUUUCAGCGAGGAGGCGUUACUCGCAGAAGAAGCACCGGCUAACUCCGUGCCAGCAGCCGCGGUAAUAC
rnacentral:rRNA from 1 species